rnacentral:rRNA from 1 species
CAUUUUUGUUCGUAUACAAAUAGUCAAUUAUGCGUCUCCGUUAGAGACUACUAUUGCUACAAGUUUCAAAUGCAUCAUGUUGUAUUUAACACCAUUAUACAUGGUAAACGACUAUUCCAACAAUAUGUGGUUGAUAUGUACAUCAAGGUUGAAACCUCAAGACUGGACUAUAUAAAAAAACACCAGAAACAAAUAUGUGCUGAUCUAUACCAAGGCGUUGUUGAUAGCCUUCAAGCUAGGGACUACUGUGCGGAUGCAGUGGGCAAAUGGACUAUUGGUCCUUCAUCAUUUAUUGGGGGGAGAAGAGAUAGGAGACGAAGAUACCUUAAUGUCAUGGCCUUAGUUCAAAAGUAUGGGAAGCCAGACGUUUUAACCAUGACUUGCAACCCUAAUUGGGAUGAAAUAACUAGUGAGCUAGAGCCAGGACAAACUCCACAGGAUCGUCCAGAUCUCAUUGUAAUAGUAUUUCAAGCAAAGUUGGAAGACCUCAAGGGACAACUUUUUAAAGGCGCAUUCUUGGUAAGGUGUAAGCAUAUGUAUAUGUCGUUGAGUUCCAGAAAAGAGUUCUACCACAUGCUCAUUUCCUCCUAA